CGCUUCAACUUUUGCUUUUCUACGCGCGUCUAUUUCGCUCUAGACGCGCGAAUGCAUUCAAAAUGUUCAAGCGGCAAACUAGACGCGGUAGACGCGAAUUUGACGCUCUAUUCGCGUUUGGUGUGAACGCAGCAGAAUUUAAGUAUUUAAAUAAGUACGCAGCAUAAGAAUUCAGUGCUUUGAUGAGCACCACUGCGAAUACAAAAAUCUGAAUGGCUGUUUGAAAGAACAGAAAGUAGUGCAGUUGCUUUGUUUACAGGGUUACCGGGGUAACGGCUGCAUUUCUGCUGUUCCAUCAGCGCCACCUGCUGGCAGAGAGUGCGGUAUGCGCUGUUUUCCAUGUCUCCUCAAAGACUGAAAGAGUAGGAAUCCCUCAGACUGAGUGCAGUGUAGAGAGUAAAACUGACCCCUCCUCCUCCUGUUGGUGCGAGCGAGCGGUCUCAUACUGGCCCAUGCCUACACGCUGUAGCUGGUCAACAACCCCUACCAAGCCAUCGUAGAUGGUGUCCGGUUCUUGGGCACAGCAGGACAGAAUAUCAGUGAUAUUGUGAAGUACAGCAGUAUGGAUGAUCAUCUGGAAAUACUGGAAAGCACACUAAGACUCCGACACCUGGCUCCCACCACUCCGGACACACUGGGACCUGAAGGACAAGAUGUUCUCCUGAUAGCAAUCCCAGAGUUCAGCAGCACACAGACCGCUGUCUUGUGAACCUGCGCACCUUGGAGUGCUUCUCCUCUUUCUCCUCCGAGGAUGAUGAGGACAAUGAGAUGAAUAUCAGCCACUAAACACUCACUUAUCAACACGUGACACUUGUUCCUGUAGUCUGUCCAACAAAGACUUGCUUCUGUUGUUGUGUUUUAUCAAUAAAGCUCCCUCUUUUGUAUGGAAACUUAAUCUUCCCUCUUCAGGUGUAGAGUUACAUUGUACUAUGGACCUUGUGUUUCUGAAAAAUGAUUCUAAAUUCUAGAUUAUUAGCCUCAUAUAUUUACUUAAAUUUAAAUGAUGGAUAUUUGAAUUUCUUUAUGCAUAGUCCUCAGAGAAAGUCGACACUUCUGAUACAAUUCUAUUAUAUAUAAAACCUCACCAUAUGAACAAGCCCUUAAUUUUAUAUUUUGAAAACAAUUUCUCGAUUAGUUUCAUCUUUAGAGGCCAGGAACUAGAUAUAUGUAAUAGUGCUUUCUCAAAAGAAAAACAGUUUAUUAUUUACUGAGAAGCACUGUCUGUUGGAAAUCUAUAAUAAUGGAGAGAUCUGAUCGUUUGUAAACAUUUAUUUUAUUGAGACGUGUAAUGAUAAUUUCAGACAGUAGUGUGGUAGGUAGGUAAUAUUUGCUAAACAUAAUGAAAACAGCAAAGUCACUCUGGAAUUUCUUACCGAAGAAAAUAUUAAAUUAAUAGUGCGGACUU